rnacentral:rRNA from 1 species
AGACCCGAAACCCGGUGAUCUAGCCAUGGGCAGGUUGAAGGUUGGGUAACACUAACUGGAGGACCGAACCGACUAAUGUUGAAAAAUUAGCGGAUGACCUGUGGCUGGGGGUGAAAGGCCAAUCAAACCGGGAGAUAGCUGGUUCUCCCCGAAAGCUAUUUAGGUAGCGCCUCGUGAAUUCAUCUCCGGGGGUAGAGCACUGUUUCGGCUAGGGGGCCAUCCCGGCUUACCAACCCGAUGCAAACUGCGAAUACCGGAGAAUGUUAUCACGGGAGACACACGGCGGGUGCUAACGUCCGUCGUGAAGAGGGAAACAACCCAGACCGCCAGCUAAGGUCCCAAAGUCAUGGUUAAGUGGGAAACGAUGUGGGAAGGCCCAGACAGCCAGGAUGUUGGCUUAGAAGC